rnacentral:tRNA from 1 species
GGAGGGGGCAGCUCAGUGGUAGGGUGUGUGCUUGGCAGGCAUGAGGUUCUGGGUUCAGUCCCCGGUACCUCCA